UGCUUCUUUGACUUUUAAAUGAUUAAAUUUAUUUAAUAUUUUCUCAAUAUAAUGAGAUUGGCAAAGAGCAAAACCCCCACUAUGUUUUUUUACUUUGAUACCUAAGAUUGUAUCUACCUCUUUUAAAUAUUUCAUUUUAAAUUUUGAGGUUAGAUACUUCUUUGUAUCAUUCACAUCUUUCAUAUUUAUUCUAAUUAUAAGCAUGUCAUCAA
rnacentral:misc_RNA from 1 species